UACGUAGGGGGCAAGCGUUGUUCGGAUUUACUGGGCGUAAAGGGCGCGUAGGCGGCGCGUAAAGUCGGAAAUGAAAUCAUUGGGCUUAAACCAAUGGCUGUGCCCGAUACUUGCGUGCUUAGAGUGCGGGAGAGGCAAUCGGAAUUCUCGGUGUAGCGGUGAAAUGCGUAGAUAUCGAGAGGAACUCCAGUGACGAAGGUGGGUUGCUGGACCGACACUGACGCUGAGGCGCGAAAGCUAGGGGAGCAAACGGG
rnacentral:rRNA from 1 species